AGACUAAGCCAUGCAUGUCUAAGUAUAAGCAAUUAUACAGCGAAACUGCGAAUGGCUCAUUAAAACAGUUAUAGUUUAUUUGGUAACUCAAAUUACAUGGAUAACCGUGGAAAUUCUAGAGCUAAUACAUGCAUAAAGGGCCUACCGCUCGUAUUUAUUAGAUAACAGACCAAUUUAAAGGUGACUCAUAGUAACUGAUCGAAUCGCCGGCUUAUGCUGCGAUAAAUCAUUCAAGUUUCUGCCCCAUCAGCUGUAGAUGGUAGUGUAUUGGACUACCAUGGCUUUCACGGGUAACGGAGGAUUAGGGUUCGAUUCCGGAGAGGGAGCCUGAGAAACGGCUACCACACCUAAGGAAGGCAGCAGGCGCGUAAAUUACCCAAUACUGAUUCAGUGAGGUAGUGACAAGAAAUAGCGGGCGGACUUUUGUCCGGACUGAAAUGAUUAGAAUUUAACGACCUUUACGAGGAACAAUUGGAGGGCAAGUCUGGU
rnacentral:rRNA from 1 species